UACGUAGGGUGCAAGCGUUAAUCGGAAUUACUGGGCGUAAAGCGUGCGCAGGCGGCUAUGCAAGACAGAUGUGAAAUCCCCGGGCUUAACCUGGAAACUGCAUUUGUGACUGCAUGGCUAGAGUGCGGCAGAGGGGGAUGGAAUUCCGCGUGUAGCAGUGAAAUGCGUAGAUAUGCGGAGGAACACCGAUGGCGAAGGCAAUCCCCUGGGCCUGCACUGACGCUCAUGCACGAAAGCGUGGGGAGCAAACAGG
rnacentral:rRNA from 1 species